AUGCAUUAUUUUGUUCAUCAAAGCCGAAACUAGGAAAAAGAAAAGGGAAAGAAAGACCAAGCAUAUUCGGCCAUUGUUGAGUCAAAAUUCAAGAUCAAGAACAAAAAGGAUCGGGUUUGGAUCGGGGAAAAUAAAAAAUCGUUGACUAGUCGAUAAUCUCUGUCCGUCGAUAUCCGAGGUAAGUUAUUAAGCAUAUAUUUUUUAUCGAUUUAAAUAACCAUAAUAUCUAUGUAAUUAUGCCGAAUUGAAUGAUAUAUAUAUAUAUAUAUGUAUGUAUGUAGUGAUGAAAUUAUCGAAUGUAAAAAGAAGUGAGAUGUAUUGAGUUGUUGAUUUUUGGCACUAAGUGUGCGGGUAUAAAUAUUUACGAUUAUGAGAUUGGCACUAA